rnacentral:lncRNA from 1 species
GAAUGAUCCCAUGACCAGCACUCAGGAGUGCUGGGAGUUGAGUUACUUGCACUGUGGACGUGCUCUGUGAUGUCCUGUCUCCCAGAAAAGCUGCACAGUGCCAGUGUGCUGCACAGCAUUUGGGAGAUGUUGGGUCCUAUCUCCCACACAUGCAAAGGCAGCUCUCAGAAUCACACUAGCACAGAGCAUGGAAUAGAAUCAAAUCAUGGCAUGUUCCAUCCACCAACUCCUGCUAUUUAUUUUCAUCUGACAAGAAACAAAUCUGAGCCUGAAGGUUCCAGGAAGAUCCUGAGGCCAGGAUCCAGACUGAGAUCAGAACAUUCAGAAGUCACAGGUCAGGAUCUUGUUGUGAGCCAAGAUGUACAGAAGGAGACUCUCUACAUGGAUCCACCAGCUUUUCCAUUGGCCAAGGGAGCACCACGACCUACACCAGCCAGGGAAUGGAGCAGUCUCUGCCUCAAGGACCUAAUAAAGAAUGGGGGCACCUCAGAGGAGCUUGCUGGGCCUCACAUUGAGAUGGAAGUGAAAAUGACGAUAGCCACUGAGUUGAGUGCAGUGCAGAGCAGAUGAGAUUAUUUUAAACAGUCAUCCAGACAGUCGUGCCUCUAUACACCCAGUGGUGCCAAUAUACAACCAGUUUGCUUUUAUGUCCUGAGGAGCAGAGAGAGUCUAUAUAGGCUCAGCGAAUCGUAGAAUCAUUGAGGUUGGAAAAGACCUCUAAGAUCACCAAGUCCAACUGUCAGCCCAUCCCCAUCAUGCCCACUGACCACAUCCACACGGCUCUGGAACACCUCCAGGGACAGUGACUCCACCACCUCCCUGGGCAGCCUGUGCCACUGCAGCACCGCUCUUUUGGAGAUGAAAUGUUUCCUAGUAUCCAACCUUAACUUCCCCUGGUGCAACUUUAGGACAUUAAGCAAAACCUUCCCUUAUUUUGGUUGGUAUUAGACUGAAAUCCGGUACCAAGAGCCCUGUGGUCAUUCAGAGACCCACUGUCUUCAAGCAGCUUGCAAAGGGGGAACCUGCUGGGCUAGGUUAUCCAGCCUGCUAUAAAAGGCAACCUGUCAGUGCACUCAGGUGAUGGAGGCUUAGGACAGGUGUUGCAUGCCUGGAUUAGCUCUGCAACAAGGAUGCCUGUUUCUCUGUACUAUAAUGUUUCAUAUUCUAGAAGCUGGAGAGGCCACGGCUCAGUCAGCCAUGCACUCGUGCCCUUUCCGGAGACACACUGGAGCUGGGCUUGGGGCCGUUCUGGCAGUGUUGGUGGCUUGAGUUAAGUCCGCCUAUUUAUUAAGGUGACAUUUGCCCAAACGCCCUCCAGAGCUCUGCCACCACUGCCUGUACGGAUAGCCUCUUAGCAUUUCUGCAUUUUUACUGUCUAAAGAAGAUUUUUGUUUGAGAAUGUCCCUGGUUUGUUUCAAGUGCCAGGAAUGUGAAAGGAACUGCUGCUGGAAGACUCAGCCAAAGGUCACCAAAGCUGCUCCCUGUGCUGAGAGUUUCCUGUAAGGGAAAGAGAUGAUUGUGUAGGUGCAACACAGAGUCUGAGUCACACGAGGUGUGCAAGUGAUAGAAAGCAGCGCGACUCUCAUCGCUUCCCCUGGAGAUUAGCCCAAAGCCAGCCACAUCCCAGCUUCCAGACACUGUCAGGGCAUCAGAUUAAGUGUUCUGCUUUCAGACUCACGCUUAACAGUUCUCCCUCCUCUGAUGUCUGCAUCCUUAGAGUGUUUUUGGACUGCGGUUCUAUCCUCUGUUAAUCUUCCCAUCUCAAGUAUGUCCUACGUGUGAAGGUUUUACCACUUACAGAGGGACAGAUUAACAGCUGUUAUCCCUCUUCAACCAAAGGGACCUGUAUUUGAGGUAGGGAAUGCUCUUGUUUUAGUUUCUGACUUCAUAGAAGAGCUUAUCUGCUCUCUUGUAGGAAUGGCUUGAUGGUUGUUUCAUAUAUAAAGCUGCUUAAUUCCUUGAUUUGCUAACGGAUCACAAAGAUCUUUGUGACAUCCACGUGAGCAACAAAAGAGGCCAGAGAGGGAAAGGCAAAGGAAUUUCUCCAGGGAGCAUUGAAAAGCAGCACUGCCAUCCCUGCUCUCAGCAGUAACAGAUUUUUGAACAGGUGUGACCUCAUCAUGACCUGAGGUCUUCUGUUCUUGAAAUAUCAGGGUCAUACCAUGAUCCCAGAGGUGUGGGUUCAGUCCUCACUCUAUGUAAGGCAAAAUGGGCAUCUCAAAAGCAGGUGUCUCCUCUACAUAUUUUUGUGGUGGAUUCUGGCAGGGUAUAGCUGAGAGAACAAAGAGAUGUGGUCCUCUGCAAGAAGGGGGUGAUCUCAGCUGAGUUUCAGGCAGAGGAGUCACAAGGCACUCCACAAUUCCCAAAACCUUUUUGGUAACAAAAGGAC